CUCAAGUAGUGCUAGAGGAAACUGGUGGAACUCCAAGAGGGCAAUUAGGAACUGGACCUCUAAACUGAGUUUGGACCAUAUAAGCAAGGUGUGUCCCAUCAAUAGUGUCCCCAAGUGGGACAGAAGAGUUUCUAUGAGCUUCAAAUUAUCGGGGAGGCAUGAUCUGAAAAGCAAACAAACACGACUUAGAGAAAUCUGAGACAUUAGACUCUACAG
rnacentral:lncRNA from 1 species